AUUUGGCCAAAGGAGUAACUAAUGGAUAUCUUACCUUAAUGACAGGAUAUUUGUUUUAGGGUGUGAUUACCAGAUGUUUUGGGUAUUGAGGAGGUAAUUACGCUUGUUUGUUCCUUGUAUCAUGGUGAGGAAGUCUUUUGCCUUCCACUCCCUUGAUUGGGGUGUAUAGGAGCUUUGAGUAAUAAACCUGGGGCUGACCCUAGUGUUCAGUAGGGGCCCUCCAGAUUCUCUGCCUCUUGCCUGUUUCUUUCCUCAAUCCACACUUCCCCCUCAGGUACAGCCCGGACAGAUGUCUCCAUAGCGUGGGGCUAUUUAUGUAUCAUUCUAUGUAUCUGCUCCUCUGGAGAGCCCUGACUAACACAGUUUCGUUUGUCAUGCACUUUGUCACAGCGGUCACAAAGGUAACUGGAACACUUCCAUCUCGAGGAAUUCUUACAGGCUCCAUGAUGGUAAAAUCUCCAGGUGAAAGCUCCCACCCAUUUUGUCAUUCAUGGGUCCCUGGAAGACCAGGUUGCAGAAGAGUUCAGCACCCUCUUUUCUUUCUCACCAAGACCUGA
rnacentral:lncRNA from 1 species